rnacentral:rRNA from 1 species
ACUGAGACACGGCCCAGACUCCUACGGGAGGCAGCAGUGGGGAAUAUUGCACAAUGGGCGAAAGCCUGAUGCAGCGACGCCGCGUGAGGGAUGACGGCCUUCGGGUUGUAAACCUCUUUCAGCAGGGAAGAAGCGAAAGUGACGGUACCUGCAGAAGAAGCGCCGGCUAACUACGUGCCAGCAGCCGCGGUAAUACGUAGGGCGCAAGCGUUGUCCGGAAUUAUUGGGCGUAAAGAGCUCGUAGGCGGUCUGUCGCGUCGGAUGUGAAAGCCCGGGGCUUAACCCCGGGUCUGCAUUCGAUACGGGCAGACUAGAGUGUGGUAGGGGAGAUCGGAAUUCCUGGUGUAGCGGUGAAAUGCGCAGAUAUCAGGAGGAACACCGGUGGCGAAGGCGGAUCUCUGGGCCAUUACUGACGCUGAGGAGCGAAAGCGUGGGGAGCGAACAGGAUUAGAUACCCUGGUAGUCCACGCCGUAAACGGUGGGAACUAGGUGUUGGCGACAUUCCACGUCGUCGGUGCCGCAGCUAACGCAUUAAGUUCCCCGCCUGGGGAGUACGGCCGCAAGGCUAAAACUCAAAGGAAUUGACGGGGGCCCGCACAAGCAGCGGAGCAUGUGGCUUAAUUCGACGCAACGCGAAGAACCUUACCAAGGCUUGACAUCGCCCGGAAAGCAUCAGAGAUGGUGCCCCCCUUGUGGUCGGGUGACAGGUGGUGCAUGGCUGUCGUCAGCUCGUGUCGUGAGAUGUUGGGUUAAGUCCCGCAACGAGCGCAACCCUUGUUCUGUGUUGCCAGCAUGCCCUUCGGGGUGAUGGGGACUCACAGGAGACUGCCGGGGUCAACUCGGAGGAAGGUGGGGACGACGUCAAGUCAUCAUGCCCCUUAUGUCUUGGGCUGCACACGUGCUACAAUGGCAGGUACAAUGAGCUGCGAUGUCGCAAGGCGGAGCGAAUCUCAAAAAGCCUGUCUCAGUUCGGAUUGGGGUCUGCAACUCGACCCCAUGAAGUCGGAGUUGCUAGUAAUCGCAGAUCAGCAUUGCUGCGGUGAAUACGUUCCCGGGCCUUGUACACACCGCCCGUCACGUCACGAA